CUCCUGCAGACAACAAGUCCUUAACAGCUGAAACCCUCCCACUCUGUAACUCCUGCUGGCAGCUGCCCUACCCCAGGAGUCAGCUGUGGGCGUGCCAAGGACCCACAGCCCAGAUCUGACAGGGCCCAGCUGUGCUACCAUGACUCAAGACUGCUGGGAGGAAGCUGUGAGAAAGUCCACAGAGAGAUGAGAGAGGUACAAAUCGUAAGGAGA